CCUACGGGAGGCAGCAGUGGGGAAUAUUGGACAAUGGGGGGAACCCUGAUCCAGCCAUGCCGCGUGUGUGAAGAAGGCCCUCGGGUUGUAAAGCACUUUCAGUGAGGAAGAACGCCUGGUGGUUAAUACCCAUCAGGAAAGACAUCACUCACAGAAGAAGCACCGGCUAACAUCCGUGCCAGCAGCCGCGGUAAUACGGAGGGUGCGAGCGUUAAUCGGAAUUACUGGGCGUAAAGCGCGCGUAGGUGGCGUGAUAAGCCGGUUGUGAAAGCCCCGGGCUCAACCUGGGAACGGCAUCCGGAACUGUCAAGCUAGAGUGCAGGAGAGGAAGGUAGAAUUCCCGGUGUAGCGGUGAAAUGCGUAGAGAUCGGGAGGAAUACCAGUGGCGAAGGCGGCCUUCUGGACUGACACUGACACUGAGGUGCGAAAGCGUGGGUAGCAAACAGGAUUAGAUACCCUGGUAGUC
rnacentral:rRNA from 1 species